AUGGAUCCGGAAAUGAGGGAUCGUGUUAGGAAGAGGGAGGAGGAGGAUGACAAAAUGAUGUUAUUUGUUUUCCCUGCACUACAUUUGAUAGAGACCGAUGGAGUUGCUCUUAGGGAGCGGAGGAUUCCACGCCAUACAUCAUCGCUAACAGGCGAGAUGUUUGUUAAGGAGUUACUCGAAGGGCACGUCAAAAACUGUCGGGUAGCAUUUAGGAUGGAGCCGCAUAUCUUCAAAUCUUUAGCUAAUUAUCUUCGAAGGGAGAAGUUGGUGAAAGAUACCAGAAUUAAAGUCGAAGAGAAACUAGCAUCAUUUUUGUGGAUGUUGUCCCAUAAUUCUUCAUUUGAAGACCUUCAAGUUCGGUUUGGUCACAGCGGGGAUACUUUCCAUUAG
rnacentral:rRNA from 1 species